rnacentral:rRNA from 1 species
GACGAACGCUGGCGGCGUGCUUAACACAUGCCAGUCGAACGGAAAGGCCCUGCUUUUGUGGGGUGCUCGAGUGGCGAACGGGUGAGUAACACGUGAGUAACCUGCCCUUGACUUUGGGAUAACUUCAGGAAACUGGGGCUAAUACCGGAUAGGAUCUCCUGCUGCAUGGUGGGGGUUGGAAAGUUUCGGCUGUUGGGGAUGGUCUCGCGGCUUAUCAGCUUGUUGGUGUGGUAGGGGCUUACCAAGGCUUUGACGGGUAGCCGGCCUGAGAGGGUGACCGGCGACAAUGGGACUGAGAUACGGAGCAGAAUGCAACGGGAGGCAGCAGUGGGGAAUAUUGCACAAUGGGCGGAAGCCUGAUGCAGCAACGCCGCGUGCGGGAUGACGGCCUUCGGGUUGAAAACCGAUUUCGCCUGUGACGAAGCGUGAGUGACGGUAAUGGGUAAAGAAGCACCGGCUAACUACGUG